rnacentral:lncRNA from 1 species
UCCAACUCUAUUCCAAAAAUUUAAUGUUAAAUAUUACAUGUGAUGAGUUCUUAACAAGGUGAUUUACAAUGAUUUUUCCAGUAAGAUGUUUUGGCUCCUCUAACCACUCCAGAGUCCAGACAUAGAAAGCUAUACCAAACCAAGGUUACACAGCCUGAGAUUUCAAUUAAUUUCUUACACAUUCUUCACAAGUUAAAUCUACAUUCCAUCAGGAGUAAGAAACAGAAGGAACUCAUUAUUUUCAAGGACUCUAUUCUUAACAAUAACUAUAUCUUUUACCUUCUCCAGGUAUCAGGUAUGUU